UUGAGACACCAGUUCCCGAACGAUCACCGAUGUUAAGCAACGUCGAACCUGGUCAGUACCUUGAUAGUUGACCGUUUGUGAAUAACAGGUGCUGUAAGC